rnacentral:rRNA from 1 species
AGAAUCAACGCUGGCGGCGUGCCUAACACAUGCAAGUCGAACGAGAAAGUGGAGCAAUCCAUGAGUAAAGUGGCGACCGGGUGAGUAACACGUGACUAACCUACCUUCGAGUGGGGAUAACCUCGGGAAACCGAGGCUAAUACCGCAUAACAUCGUGAGAUCAAAGCAGUAAUGCGCUGGAAGAGGGGGUCGCGGCUGAUUAGCUAGUUGGCGGGUAAUGGCCCACAAGGCGAAGAUCGGUA